GAUGAACGCUGGCGGCGUGCCUAACACAUGCAAGUCGAGCGAACGGACGAGAAGCUUGCUUCUCUGAUGUUAGCGGCGGACGGGUGAGUAACACGUGGAUAACCUACCUAUAAGACUGGGAUAACUUCGGGAAACCGGAGCUAAUACCGGAUGAUAUUUUGAACCGCAUGGUUCAAAAGUGAAAGACGGUCUUGCUGUCACUUAUAGACGGAUCCGCGCUGCAUUAGCUAGUUGGUAAGGUAACGGCUUACCAAGGCAACGAUGCAUAGCCGACUUGAGAGGGUGAUCGGCCACACUGGAACUGAGACACGGUCCAGACUCCUACGGGAGGCAGCAGUAGGGAAUCUUCCGCAAUGGGCGAAAGCCUGACGGAGCAACGCCGCGUGAGUGAUGAAGGUCUUCGGAUCGUAAAACUCUGUUAUUAGGGAAGAACAUAUGUGUAAGUAACUGUGCACAUCUUGACGGUACCUAAUCAGAAAGCCACGGCUAACUACGUG
rnacentral:rRNA from 1 species